UGACUCGGGACUUGAACCCACCAACCCAGAGGUCAUGACCUGAGCGGGACUUGAACCCACCAACCGAGAGGUCAUGACCUGAGCUGAACCAGAGGGUUAACAGCUGCCCCCAGGUGCCCGACCCCCGCACUUAAAGGACAGACUCUCGCACUGUCGCACUCGGAGUACUUGCCUGCCAGCGCGGACGUGGCUGCCCAGGGUGAGAACCCAGCUGCACGCCGGCUCCGGAUCCGGAUGCGGGUCCAAGUCCUCCCCCGGCUCCGCACGGUGCCUGCCUACUCGGCUCUCCGGGUCAUAGGCGGGUCACGCGCCGGCCCGCACAGCCUGCUGGGAAGACUGGCGGCGGCAGGCAUGCGCACUGCUUCGCCCUGGGGGUGGGAGGGUAUAAUCUCCCGCACAAAUACCAAGCUUCGGUUGUCGCCGCAGGAAGGCCCUUGAGGGCUGGGGUCGUGUGUCCCUUCCCCUGCUUGUUCGCUGGCUCUGCGGAGUGUGUCACCCCCGAGCUUGGCCGCUGGCAUCGCCCGCCCGAAGGCUUCGGGCCUCCCUGCGGCCGGGCUGCGUCCAGCUGCGCACGCGCAGGACUUACUUUCCGGAAGCUUCUGUGUUCCCUGAGGUAAAACCGGUCACUGAGAGGACUGCUUCCAGCGCUGACUCCCGGCCUCCUCUUGUGUCCCUGUUUGAGGGGGCGGGUAUAGGCCGUCAUCAUCUGACAUAAACACCGCGCUUCACCCCGGCUCCCAACACCCUCUCUCCUGCUUGGCUUCAUUUUCCUUCGCGUCAUGGGUUCUCUCAUGGAUAUUUUUAUUUGUAACUUCAUCUCCUUCCACGGGAAGGUGAAGCCAAGUAACUGUGAACUCCACAUCCACACAUUCUGCAAAAUAAUGAAGUCAUAAACUCAUAGGCUAAGGCAAACGGCAACCACAAGAAGCUUUUGAGACCCACAGAUGAAGUCUAGAGUCCUUGUGCUAGCAAGUUCCUGCGGCACCCACCCACCCAGGGUCUGAAAAGAGCACACGUUCAUUAUCUCACAGUGUCUGGAGGCCCAAAGUCUGGGAACAGCUUACCCACGUUCUUGGCUUAGGGUCUCCAAAAGCUGUGAUCACAGUGUUGGCUAAGUGGUGUCAACGUCUGGAGGCCAACUGGGGAAGAAUUCACUUCCAGGCUUACUCAGGGUGGCCACAGUCCUUUCGGUUGUAGGACUGAGGACCCUGGCUUGUUGCCGCUGUUGGAUGCCAACUGCUCUCAGAUCCUGGACACCACCCCGAGCCCCAUGCCAGGAUGUGUGUAUGGAGCUCAGUAGCAGCCCGGCAGCCUCGUGGACUCUGCUGAGUGUUUUCUUACACUGGGAUUUCCCUGGCCUAGAGACUGAAAUCACAGAACCAUGGAAUCCAAACCAGAGGGGCUUUCUCUGUCAUCUGAGAUAGUACUGAUUUUCGGCUACAUGUACUGGAGCCUGCCAGGGCCCGGGCUGUGGGGCUGACAGAGUAGGGAGCAGACUCAGAUUUUCCCACAUUUGAGUGUAUCAUUCUGUGCUGUGAUGUUUGGCCCUUUCAGCUGAUGGCUCUCAAGAGGAUGAGGAAAUGAGAAGGCCACAUACCAAGAACCUUGAGGCCUUGUCACUUGACGUGAACCCUGGCGGCCACCCUUUGCAGGAUAAAGCAUUUCUACCCCAGUGGUUCUCCUCACUCUGGCCGGCUCGCUCCUCCCUAAGUCUGCCUGUGUAGGAUGGGAUGAGAGAGCGUGGAUGGGAGCACGCAGCCUCAGAAGACAGGUUUCCCGUGGCCAAUACCUCCUGCACAAUUACUCAGUUAAUCAGCGUGCUGAGCCUCUACCCCCAGUGUUCCCAGUUGUGCGUGACAGCGUGGAGGAGACUUGAGAAGGACACUCACAGACCCAGACUCGGCAGGGUUUAUGAGCUAGUUGAACAGAUGAAUGAACAAGUAGGUGAGAAGUAAUUUGACCCAAGUUCCAGUCUGGCCUCUGUCACUAACUGUGUGAGUUGGAGGUUUAGAGAGAUGAGGCAUAAAAGUAUAAAAUGUAUCCCUUUGGAUUAUUGUGAAGGCUAAUUAAGAAGAUGAUGCCUGAAGACACACAGUAAAAACCUUCCCUCCUGUGAGCAUUGGGUCAGUAAGCACCCAAACAAGUUCACAGAACAUUCUGAGUUUUGGGAACAGGGACAGCAAUGCUCACAAUUUGCCCCUGGUGGGAGGAACCCUGUGAAGACCACAGGGCAAGCGAGGCAGCACUUCGAGGCCCUAUCAUUCUUGGGCUGGAGGCAAGACGGAGGAGUCUGUGUUAGAUUCAGGGUCACCCAGUGCGAGACGGAGCCACAGGGUCCACGGAGUAGGGGCUGGAGCCACAAAGAGGCUGCCGUUCCGGCUGGAGAAGGAAACCUUGCUACGGACAGAGGGAAAGAAACGCUCUGGUUUCUCCUUUGCACCUGCACUCCCAGUCUUCAAGGAAUGCUGAGUCCGUCAUCCUAAUCCAGCCGAGGCCAGCUUACUUGGACCCUGGGCAGCGCAACUGGAAAGACUUGGGCUUCAUCUCCCUGACCCUGCAGCUCUACACACACAGAAGGGCAAGGAUGCCCGGCCUGGCACAAGCCCUUGCUGUGGAUGUUUAUGUGGGGACAGGAACGCCCCUGCUAGGGCCUCAGAAGGUCUUGUGCGAGUCCUAGGGAGGGUUCUGUUUUUGCCAGGACCUGUACCGCCACUCUACACAUGCCUCGAAUGCAAACAGUGCAUGUCCUCCUUGUGAGGGACAAGGAGUUAAUGAUUCUGUAGAAGACGGCACAUCUAAAGAAAGACCAGGUAUUCCAUAAGACUCGCUGGCUGGGAGUCACUUCAAGGCUAAGGGCUGAAAUCAGGAAUAUCUUCACACAUAUGGCUGGCACUGGGACUUUUCACCAGAAUACCUCCAGGAAGCCCUUCCCCAUGGUCCAUUCUUCACAGCAUGGAGGCCUCAAGGUAUAUGGACUUCUAACCGACUCACUUCAAAUACAUGUGACCCAGGAGAACUAAAUGGACACAGUGAGGCCUCUUGUAUCUUGCCUUAGAGCUUAGGUGUCAUUUUAAUGGCCAAGAGUGAGUUGUUAGAGUUGAUCCCAAUUCAAGGCAAGGGGACAUAGAUAUAAUCUAUCAGUUGGAAGAGUGUCAGUUAAUGUGCAAAAAUGUUCAGAACUCCUCAUAGCUAGUUACGUGGCUCCAACAUAACUCACAAAUGUUUUCUUACGUGCUCAGAAAGAGGAAAAUGAAACUGGGUUUGGUGAACAUAUUACAAGUAGAUACAGCAGCAUUUUUAUCAUUUAUUAAAAACUCUAUUCUAAUUUCCAUUUUUAAAUUUAUUUUUGAGGUGGGGGGAACAGCAGAGAGAGGGAGAGAGACUCCCAAGCAGGAUCCAUGCUGUCAGUGCAGAGCCCCACACGGGGCUUGAACUCACAAACUGUGAGAUCAUGACCUGAGUCAAAAUCAAGGGUCAGAUGUGCAACCAACUGAGCCAGCCAGGCACCCCUCUAAUUUUCAUUAUGAGUUUCUCUUUGCUAUUUUAAUAUUCCAGGUGUAUUUAUAAGGAGUGUCCUCUGUAGCUUGUCUAGCACAAACUUUUUUAUGAAUAACCAAAUAACACAGUCUAGACUUUGUGGACCACAUCUGGUCUUUGUCACUCAUUUGUCCUUAAUUUCAUUUUUUCACAACUCUUUUAAAAUGUGAACGCCAGGGCGCCUGGGUGGCUCAGUCGGUUAAGCGUCCGACUUCAGCUCAGGUCACGAUCUCAUGGUCCGUGAGUUGGAG